AGCCAUCGUGCCCGGCCUCCCUGGCUUCUUAUUUCACCUUUAUAAAUAGGCGUGGCCUAUUGAAGACUGCACAGAUACAACUGUGUACCAGAAAGUGUGACUGCAGAAUUUUCUCUUCCAGAAACUGCAAUGGAGCCCUCCUGUGGCUAAUUUAAUCCGGCCAAUUUUCCUUGAUCUAAGCAGAAAAUCAUAUAAAGAAGCAGCUGUAGCUGCUGCCAUUGCCUGAGGGGAGCGAGAAAAGGCCGGGGCGACCAGGGAGAAAACGCAGAGUCGCCACUGGAGAGAAGCCAACUCCCCAGCAGCAGCCGCCGCCGGAGAGGCCUGCCCACCCAUUCGCGCGUCCACCUGCCCCGUUCACAAUGCAGCCUGCUUCUGCAAAGUGGUGCGAUCGAAGGGACUAUGUCUUCAUUGAAUUUUGUGUUGAAGAUAUAAGGAUGUUAAUGUAAAUUUUGAAAAAUCCAACCUUACAUUCAGUUGUCUUGGAGAAAGUGAUAAUUUUAAGCACUUAAAUGAAAUUGAUCUUUUUUACUGUAUUGAUCCAAAUGAUUCCAAGCAUAAAAGAAUGGACAGAUCAAUUUUGUAUUGUUUACAAACAGGAGAAUCUGGCCAGUCAUGGCCAAAGUUAACAAAAGAAAGGGCAAAGCUGAAUUGUCUUAGUGUGGACUUGAAUAAUUGGAAAGACUGGGAAGAUGGUUCAGAUGAAGACAGGUCUAAUUUUGAUAGUUUCUCCGAGAUGAUGAACAACAUGGGUGGUGAUGAGGAUGUAGAUUUACCAGAAGUAGAUGAAGCAAAUGAUGAUUCACAAGACAGUGAUGAUGAAAAAUGCCAGAUCUGGAGUAAGAAAUAUUGUCAUCACCUGGAUUUUGAGAAAGAAAAUAACUUCUCUCCAAGAUUUCAUAAUUGAGAGAAUUCCUGAGUUGAUAACCCUAAAGGCAGAUGCUGUAUUUGCCUACUUUAACCCGUUUUUCAACCUGUUUAUUUUUUAAAAGGCUUCACUAAGGGUUGAUAUGUACCAUUUUAAGUCAGCUAAGGCAAUAACCUUAUGCGUGAACAUUUCCCAGACUUUAGUGAAACUGUUGAGGUCCUAGGCAACUGAUGCAGCAGUUGUGAUAAAUAAAAACAUUUCACCUAA